ACGUACGUCAAGUACCAUGAGGGAAAGAGUAGAAAAGGAACUUUGUAAAAGAAGAGUUAAAAAGUAGCCUGAACUCGCUGAAAGGAAAAGACGGGAUGGAACCAAGUCGUGCUUGGCGAGAUUGUUGCGUGCAAAGGUGACUGCUCACUGCUCGUAGCGUAAGACGCAGCAGCGGGGUUUCGAUCUGGUCGCGCGCGAUGCUUCUUGUCUUUGUUCGUCAUCGUUGGUUUGGAGGCGCGGACGAAACUCUUGGGGACAUGGUAACUCGCCCACGGGCGAGCGAAUGUUCCUUGCAGAACUCACCUCCAAACUGAUGUCUCUUGUUAGGUUCUGUUGCCGUACGCGGUCACGUUCUUGACAAAGCGUAGGUGACAGAAUGGUUCUAUUCGACCGUCUUGAAACACGGACCAAAGGAGUACUAACAUANGUGCUAAGUACUUGGGUGCGAAACCUAUGUGCGCAAUGAAAGUGAGUGCUGAGAUGCUUGCAUCAGCAGCCGACCAAUCAAUUGGGAGAGGUUUGAG
rnacentral:rRNA from 1 species